UGGGGAAUUUUGGACAAUGGGCGAAAGCCUGAUCCAGCAAUGCCGCGUGUGUGAAGAAGGCCUUCGGGUUGUAAAGCACUUUUGUCCGGAAAGAAAUGGCUCUGGUUAAUACCUGGGGUCGAUGACGGUACCGGAAGAAUAAGGACCGGCUAACUACGUGCCAGCAGCCGCGGUAAUACGUAGGGUCCAAGUGUUAAUCGGAAUUACUGGGCGUAAAGCGUGCGCAGGCGGUUGUGCAAGACCGAUGUGAAAUCCCCGAGCUUAACUUGGGAAUUGCAUUGGUGACUGCACGGCUAGAGUGUGUCAGAGGGGGGUAGAAUUCCACGUGUAGCAGUGAAAUGCGUAGAGAUGUGGAGGAAUACCGAUGGCGAAGGCAGCCCCCUGGGAUAACACUGACGCUCAUGCACGAAAGCGUGGGGAGCAAACAGGAUUAGAUACCCUGGUAGUCCACGCCCUAAACGAUGUCAACUAGUUGUUGGGGAUUCAUUUCCUUAGUAACGUAGCUAACGCGUGAAGUUGACCGCCUGGGAGUACGGUCGCAAGAUUAAAAGCUCAAAGG
rnacentral:rRNA from 1 species